rnacentral:rRNA from 1 species
UACGUAGGGUGCAAGCGUUUGUCCGGAAUUAUUGGGCGUAAAGAGCUCGUAGGCGGUUUGUCGCGUCUGCUGUGAAAACUGGGGGCUCAACCCCCAGCCUGCAGUGGGUACGGGCAGACUAGAGUGCGGUAGGGGAGAUUGGAAUUCCUGGUGUAGCGGUGGAAUGCGCAGAUAUCAGGAGGAACACCGAUGGCGAAGGCAGAUCUCUGGGCCGUAACUGACGCUGAGGAGCGAAAGCAUGGGGAGCGAACAGG